rnacentral:SRP_RNA from 1 species
GCCGGGCGCGGUGGCGGGCGCCUGUAGUCCCAGCUACUCGGGAAGCUGAGGCUGGAGGAUCGCUUGAGCUCAGGAGUUCUGGGCUGCAGUGCGCUAUGCCGAUCGGGUGUCCGCACUAAGUUCGGCAUCAAUAUGGUGACCUCCCGGGAGCGGGGGACCACCAGGUUGCCUAAGGAGGGGUGAACCGGCCCAGGUCGGAAACGGAGCAGGUCAAAACUCCCGGGCUGAUCAGUAGUGGGAUCGCGCCUGUGAAUAGCCACUGUACUCCAGCCUGGGCAACAUAGCGAGACCCCGUCUCUA